rnacentral:rRNA from 1 species
GACGAACCGAGCGAACGUUGUUCGGAAUUACUGGGCGUAAAGGGCUCGUAGGCGGCCAACUAAGUCAGACGUGAAAUCCCUCGGCUUAACCGGGGAACUGCGUCUGAUACUGGAUGGCUUGAGUUCGGGAGAGGGAUGCGGAAUUCCAGGUGUAGCGGUGAAAUGCGUAGAUAUCUGGAGGAACACCGGUGGCGAAGGCGGCAUCCUGGACCGACACUGACGCUGAGGAGCGAAAGCCAGGGGAGCAAACGGG